rnacentral:rRNA from 1 species
AGAGUUUGAUCAUGGCUCAGGAUGAAUGCUGGCGGCGUGCCUAAUACAUGCAAGUCGAGCGGUAACAGGUUCUCACAAUGUACUUCUCUUUCUUCGAGACAGGACGUUGAAAUUUCUUUAGAAAUUUUAACCUCUAAAACGAAGGAGAAAUGUCUGGCUGUAAGAAAAACUUACAAACGAGAUAGAGAGAAGGAUGUUGUGAGAAUGCUGACGAGCGGCGGACGGCUGAGUAACGCGUGGGAACGUGCCCCAAAGUGAGGGAUAACCUCGAGAAAUCGAGGCUAAUACCGCAUAUGGUCUUCGGAUUAAAGGAUUUAUCCGCUUUGGGAGCGGCCCGCGUACGAUUAGGUUGUUGGUGAGGUAAUGGCUCACCAAGCCUACGAUCGUUAACUGGUCUGAGAGGAUGAUCAGUCAGACUGGAACUGAGACACGGUCCAGACUCCUACGGGAGGCAGCAGUAAGGAAUCUUCCACAAUGGGCGAAAGCCUGAUGGAGCAACGCCGCGUGCAGGAUGAAGGCCCUCGGGUCGUAAACUGCUUUUAUGAGUGAAGAAUAUGACGGUAACUCAUGAAUAAGCACCGGCUAACUACGUGCCAGCAGCCGCGGUCAUACGUAGGGUGCAAGCAUUAUCCGGAGUGACUGGGCGUAAAGAGUUGCGUAGGUGGUUAGUAAAGUGAAUAGUGAAACCUGGUGGCUCAACCAUACAGACUAUUAUUCAAACUCACUAACUCGAGAGUGGUAGAGGUAACUGGAAUUUCUAGUGUAGGAGUGAAAUCCGUAGAUAUUAGAAGGAACACCAAUGGCGUAGGCAGGUUACUGGACCAUUUCUGACACUAAGGCACGAAAGCGUGGGGAGCGAACCGGAUUAGAUACCCUAGUAGUCC